rnacentral:lncRNA from 13 species
UGAAACCUCUGCCCUUCUGUUGCCUUGUCAGUACAAUGAGUAUAACAGUCGUAACUGCAUUGUGGAGAUUAUGUGAAGUAAUGCACGUAAGCAUAUAACACAGUGCUUGGCACAUAUUGAUAUUCAAUAAAUGUUAGCUAUUAAUUAUUGCAUAUUUUCAUAGGCAAUAUCGAAUAUGAGGAUUGUAAGAUGGACUGUGCUGGAAUGCCUAGACUGUGGAGUUGUGGAGGAGGAGUCAGCCCUCACCCAUUCUGCGACCUUGCAACAGGAUUCUCAACCACUCUGGGCCGCCUUUUCCUGAUACCGCAGCCCUGCUAGGUUGCUUCUGGUUUUUCAAUAUUCCAAACAGUGAAUAUUUCAAUAUUCCAUCAGUGAAUAAAAUCCUGGCACAUGUACAUUUGUGUCCUUUUCAUUUUACACAUGGAAUUACUGGGUCAAAGAUAUGUGCCUUCUUAGGCUUUUUUUUUUUAAUGUAUUGCCAAAAUGCCCUUAUCCCAGCUUAUACCCCUCUACCCGUGUGUGAGUGCAGAUUCCCCCCACCCAUGCCAACUCUUGGUAUGAUAAUAAUUCUUUUUAAUCAUUGCAAAUUCGAUCAGCAAAAAAGGUCUCUUACUGCUGUUUUAAUUUUCCUUUCUUUGAAUGUUAGUAAGACUGAAUAUUUUUUUAAUUUAUGGUGGGUUUUGAUGUACAGAAGUUUUUAAUUUUUUUCAUAGUCAAAUCUAUUAAUCUUUUCCUCUAUGGUCUCUGCUUUUGUUGACAUGUUUGGAAAGUUCUUCCCCCUCCUAAGAUUAUAAAAUAUUCACUCGUAUUUUCUUCUAGUACCUACCUUUAUGGCUUCAUUUCCAUCUUUAUCCAUCUGGUAUUCAUUUUGACGAAUGGUGUGAGCUGGGAAAUAAUGUGUAUUUAUUUAUUUAUUUCCCGGAUGGAUACUCCGUUCUUUCAUCACUGUUAAAAGGCACAUAUUUGUGUGUGUGUGUUUGUGUGUGUGUAACUAUUCCUAAAGUGAACAUCUCAAACAGCUGGACACUGAGGGAGACGCAGCUCUGGACCUUGGGCCAUCAUUACAAAUAUCAGCUAUUGUGCUUAACAAGCAGAUAUGGCACUUUCUAACAGACGUGAGCUUUUGAGUCAAAGGGAUCGACGUUUGACAUUCAGAUCCCAGCUUUGCAGCUACUGCUGGUGCAACUUUGAGCACACCAGUGAUCCUCCCUGAGUCUUGGUUUCCUCUUCUUUAAAAUGGGAUAAUAAGACUUACAGGGCUGUCAUGAGACUUGAAUGAGCUAAUGUUUGUAGCAACUGUCUGCACAUGCCUUCACGCCUUUCACAGCAUGGACAGUCAACAUUUAUCACUUGCCCUUCACACUGCAACUAUCAUGCUCCCUCCUCGCCAUCAAGUGAUUUCUCAGGCCUUGACUGUAAAUAGGAUAUGGGAGAGGCUGGAUGCUGUGUUUGCUUUUUAUAGGUUUUCUAUCUUUACUGUGUGAUCAGACUUCCAUGUGUUAUGUCUUGCUGCUGUUAGUGUCUUUUCAUUAGCAGCCUUUCUCCUCUCUUCUAAAAGUACUGCUUUUAAUCUUAUAACAGCUAGAAAACCAGACAACUGGAUUGUUCGAAGUAUAUAUAAAUUAAGAGUAACUGGGAUCUGAGUGGGAGCCCGAGGGCCUCUCCUAUUGUAUAACGUGGUGGUUCUCGGCUCUGGCUGUACAUUAGAAUCACCUGGGGAGCUUUGAAAACAUAUCCAUGCCUGGGUCCUACUCCAGACCAAUUAAAUGAGAACCUCUGGUUGUGGGGCCCAGGCUUGGGUGUGUUUAAAAACUCCGCGGGUGAUUCUAGUGUGAAUGCAGGGCUGAGAACCAUUGGUUGCGUGCACAGGCUUUGUGAGAUCCACAUUUACGACUGAGAGGUCUUUCCCUCUGGUUCUCUCCCAAAGUGUGCCCCAAGUUUGGGCAGCAGCUCUGUGGAGCAGAAGGCCAGAUGUUUAGGCUCUGACUGUGCUUGCUAAAGUGAGAGGCUCCAGCACUCAGGUCUGUGUAAGAACACGUUCCUCAGGGCUUUCGGAGAUGAUGUCAGUUUCUCUUUAAGAUGGAGCUGUUUUAGUCCCCACCCCGAUGCAACUCCCCCUGCCUCUAAGGGGUUCCAGGGACCAUGCUGACUUUGACUCCUGAGGAGUGUAGGAAAUACUGAGAAAUAAAUCUUGAGAAAACACCUUCA